UGAGUGCUAAGUGUUAGAGGGUUUCCGCCCUUUAGUGCUGAAGUUAACGCAUUAAGCACUCCGCCUGGGGAGUACGGUCGCAAGACUGAAACUCAAAGGAAUUGACGGGGGCCCGCACAAGCGGUGGAGCAUGUGGUUUAAUUCGAAGCAACGCGAAGAACCUUACCAGGUCUUGACAUCCUCUGACACUCCUAGAGAUAGGACGUUCCCUUCGGGGACAGAGUGACAGGUGGUGCAUGGCUGUCGUCAG
rnacentral:rRNA from 1 species